rnacentral:rRNA from 1 species
UACAGAGGGGGCUAGCGUUGUUCGGAAUUACUGGGCGUAAAGCGCACGUAGGCGGCUUUGUAAGUUAGAGGUGAAAGCCCAGGGCUUAACCCUGGAAUUGCCUUUAAGACUGCAUCGCUAGAAUCGUGGAGAGGUGAGUGGAAUUCCGAGUGUAGAGGUGAAAUUCGUAGAUAUUCGGAAGAACACCAGUGGCGAAGGCGACUCACUGGACACGUAUUGACGCUGAGGUGACGAA